UUUCAAAUCUCCCUGGCUUAGGUGAAAUGCAGACUGUAUUCAAGCAACCUGAUUCCAUACCGGAUGGAGCUGGAAUUGAAGCUUAACUUUAAAGCUUUAAGCACAACACUUAAUUGUUAUCCAAUACUGAGAGCAGGAAUUUGUAACUGAUUGCUCCUCUUCUGGACAUCCAGCACCAAGAACAGUGUUUGGUCCACAGAAGAAAAACGUAAAUCGUGAUGAAAAUUUUCAUCAGCUGGGGGGGAAUAUUGAUUUCAAUUUUAGGCAUGGGAUGACCAGAGCUGAGAAUGCCUAUUUAUUGAAAACCAUCAAAAUGUACAACAAAUUGAAAAAAGAAUUACUACCUGUAGAAGAGGUAGUAUACCUCAUUUUCAAGUUGAAGUUGAUUAAAUUUUGAAUGAAAACUAAUUAUGAGAAAAGUUUUCAGUACUGUAACAAAGGCCAGCUAAUGUUUUCCAUUUAUAGUUUUACUGGCUGAAAAGGAAUAUUGUCUGCACUCAUAGCCACCAAACAAACGGCGAUCCAUAAUAUACAGGAUGAACAUAGUGGCAAAUGUUAAAUGGGAAAUCUUGACUGAGGCUCUGAGAUAGGAUAACUAUUAAAAGGAGUUAGUGAGGCAGAUCAAAAUGCAAACUGUUCAACUGUUAGAGAACUGGUUUCUCAAACAGAGUUGCAGU